AAGAGAAGAGAAGAGAAGAGAAGAGAAAAAAGAAAAGAAAAGGAGCCUUGGUGUUUAAGUUUCUGUUUUGGAUAUGAUAAUUCAAGAUCUUUCACCAUCCAGGAGGAUUAUGUCUUUUCCUCAGACAAAUAAGAAAACCUCCAACUUACAGACUGAUAGAGUAGCUUGAGCAACACAGAUGGUGUUCACUGCCAUAGCAGUUAAUAAUAUGCUGUCAAGCCUAAAAACAGUAAACAGCUUCAGCAUCAAGGCCAGCAGGAUUUCUUCUAAACCUCUGAAUGCAAAACAAAGUAUGUCAGGACAAGUGUCCUGGUUUCUGUUACAAGGCUGUUUCCCAGCUGCCUGGUGGGGCAGCCCCUCCUCCCAUGAUUCACAUGCAGUGAGGAUGAGACCCCUUUCAGAGGUUUAGUGCUACUGGGCCUUUCUGGAAACAUGAAUGUGAAGAAGCUUAUUAUCCUAGAUCAGGAAAAUCAUCCCUCCUUCCCUCCAGAGCACAGAAAGCCUUCAAGUCACAGAUUAAUACCAUGGCCCAGGGCAACACGAGGAAGUCUUCCACAUUCAGCUGGUUCAAGUGAGACCUGUCUGUUCUCAUUGCUCAUCAGCAGCAGCAUGAGGCCUGCAUCGAAAUCUAGAAGUGACUCCUUAGUCAGGUGAAGAGCAAGCCAACAAGCCUUGAAGAAGUACCAAACAGAAAGAAAAGCUGACACUGGUCUUCUCAUUUUGACCAAUGACAAGAACCAGUUCUUACACUCCUAAGUCUCAGUGGAGACAUGCUCUUUGCCACGUUCAGCUGUUCCUGGACUGUGCAGAAUCAAGAGUGUAGGUUUAUCCUUCUCCAGCUGUUAUGUUUUGGCGGGUGAAGAGAGAUUACUGUGGGGAGUCGCUUUCUGUCCACCUUUGGUGACCUGUGCAGCAGUGAGGCCCAUGAAACUGAGUCGGAAAACCAAUCAGAAGCUCUGGAAAACUUUCAUGAGGGAACAGUUCGUGCGCUUACCAGCUAAAAGCGAACAGCCAACAGUUCUGCAGUCAGCACGUUGACAAGGCACUACAGAGGUGAUGUCCCUGAGACAAUAUGAUCUGGGCUGUGGAUCAUCAUCCAGUUGUUUUCUGAGCUCCCAUCACCACCUUGUAAAGUCAUCGCUUCUGUUGCCUUACAAGGGAGGAUGAACACAUCUCAUGUGGUUUCUGCACUUGAGGUAGAGCACACAAGUC